rnacentral:rRNA from 1 species
UACGGGGGGGGCAAGCGUUGUUCGGAAUUACUGGGCGUAAAGGGCUCGUAGGCGGCCAACUAAGUCAGACGUGAAAUCCCUCAGCUUAACUGGGGAACUGCGUCUGAUACUGGAUGGCUUGAGUUUGGGAGAGGGAUGCAGAAUUCCAGGUGUAGCGGUGAAAUGCGUAGAUAUCUGGAGGAAUACCGGUGGCGAAGGCGGCAUCCUGGACCGGCAUUGACGCUGAGGAGCGAAAGCCAGGGGAGCAAACGGG